UACUAUGCUUGCUCUUUUUUGUUUCUUACAAUGAGUUAGCAUGACCUAUGUUCUUAUCUCAAAUAAUUCAGUGAAUGUUUUAAAUUACAGCCAAUGCUUAUAGGUGAUGUUAAUUCAUUUCUUGAUGAAGUUUCCAUAGCAUUCCGCACUAAUGCACUCUUGGCAGUUUGCACGGCACUAUUUAUCAGAUCAGCCUGCUGUCAAUGUUUGUGCUGAUGGUGUUUAACGUACUACUUGAUGAAGCUUCUGUACCCACAAUGACAACGUUGCUAUUAUGAGGUACUACAAUGGUUCAAAUUUUGUCGAGGAAUGAUGGUUAAUUUCCUUUUGCUUAUUUACUCUUUAUGCGCUCUUCUAUUUAACCACUCUGUACCAAAUGAGCAAUAGGGUCCUGUUGGUCAGAUAUCAUGUGUAGUGAGUGUUUGUAGCUUGUAGAGUCAUAGAGUGCCAACCUGUUUUUUUUUCUUCUUCUUUUUAUGUAUCCUUCAUAUAUGAGCUGUUACGUAUUGUGAUAUCCACAAUUUGCUGGCAAUGUCAGGCUACUUAGUAUUCAUAUUAUAUACAACAUUGUAUAUAUAAAUGAUAUGUUUUUAGGGGAUUUA